GACGAACGCUGGCGGCGUGCCUAAUACAUGCAAGUUGAGCGCUGAAGGUUGGUACUUGUACCGACUGGAUGAGCAGCGAACGGGUGAGUAACGCGUGGGGAAUCUGCCUUUGAGCGGGGGACAACAUUUGGAAACGAAUGCUAAUACCGCAUAAAAACUUUAAACACAAGUUUUAAGUUUGAAAGAUGCAAUUGCAUCACUCAAAGAUGAUCCCGCGUUGUAUUAGCUAGUUGGUGAGGUAAAGGCUCACCAAGGCGAUGAUACAUAGCCGACCUGAGAGGGUGAUCGGCCACAGUGGGACUGAGACACGGCCCAAACUCCUACGGGAGGCAGCAGUAGGGAAUCUUCGGCAAUAGACGAAAGUCUGACCGAGCAACGCCGCGUGAGUGAAGAAGGUUUUCGGAUCGUAAAACUCUGUUGGUAGAGAAGAACGUUGGUGAGAGUGGAAAGCUCAUCAAGUGACGGUAACUACCCAGAAAGGGACGGCUAACUACGUG
rnacentral:rRNA from 1 species